rnacentral:lncRNA from 1 species
AACACAGCCCUGUGAAGGGGAUAACCGGCACUGCUAGCUGCAUAGGAAUGAGAGCCAGGAAAUGAGUCACUGCCUCAGAGCUUUGCUGUUGGAUGAAAAAUCUGACAAACAGUAUGCUGAAAAUUACACAAGAGAGUCUUUGUCUGAAGUAGAAGAGAAGUACAAGAAAGCCAUGGUGUCCAAUGCACAACUAGACAACGAGAAGAACAAUCUGAUCUACCAGGUGGACACCCUCAAGGACGUCAUCGAGGAGCAGGAGGAGCAGAUGGCAGAGUUCUAUAGAGAAAACGAAGAGAAAUCAAAGGAGUUGGAACGGCAGAAACAUAUGUGCAGUGUGCUGCAGCAUAAGAUGGAUGAACUGAAAGAGGGCCUUCGGCAGAGGGACGAGCUCAUCGAGAAGCACGGCUUAGUUAUAAUCCCAGAGAGUACUCCCAAUGGCGACGUCAAUCAUGAGCCUGUGGUUGGAGCCAUUACUGCUGUGUCUCAGGAAGCUGCUCAGGUCUUGGAGUCAGCAGGAGAAGGGCCACUAGAUGUGAGGCUGCGGAAGCUUGCUGAGGAAAAGGACGAGCUCCUGUCACAGAUUAGAAAACUGAAGCUCCAGUUAGAGGAAGAACGGCAGAAGUGUUCCAGGAAUGAUGGCAUGUCCGGGGACCUGGCAGGGCUGCAGAACGGCUCCGACUUGCAGUUCAUCGAGAUGCAGAGAGACGCCAAUAGACAAAUUAGUGAAUACAAAUUCAAGCUUUCGAAAGCAGAACAAGACAUAGCUACCUUGGAACAA